rnacentral:rRNA from 1 species
AGCGAACGCUGGCGGCAGGCUUAACACAUGCAAGUCGAACGGGCUUCUUCGGAAGUUAGUGGCAGACGGGUGAGUAACACGUGGGAACGUGCCCUUCGGUUCGGAAUAACUCAGGGAAACUUGAGCUAAUACCGGAUACGCCCUUUUGGGGAAAGGUUGACUGCCGAAGGAUCGGCCCGCGUCUGAUUAGCUUGUUGGUGGGGUAACGGCCUACCAAGGCGACGAUCAGUAGCUGGUCUGAGAGGAUGAUCAGCCACACUGGGACUGAGACACGGCCCAGACUCCUACGGGAGGCAGCAGUGGGGAAUAUUGGACAAUGGGCGCAAGCCUGAUCCAGCCAUGCCGCGUGAGUGAUGAAGGCCUUAGGGUUGUAAAGCUCUUUUGUCCGGGACGAUAAUGACGGUACCGGAAGAAUAAGCCCCGGCUAACUUCGUG